rnacentral:rRNA from 1 species
AGAUUGAACGCUGGCGGCAGGCCUAACACAUGCAAGUCGAGCGGUAGAGAGGUGCUUGCAUCUCUUGAGAGCGGCGGACGGGUGAGUAAUGCCUAGGAAUCUGCCUAGUGGUGGGGGAUAACGUUCGGAAACGGACGCUAAUACCGCAUACGUCCUACGGGAGAAAGCGGGGGACCUUCGGGCCUCGCGCCAUUAGAUGAGCCUAGGUCGGAUUAGCUAGUUGGUGAGGUAAUGGCUCACCAAGGCGACGAUCCGAAGUAGCUGGU